UACGGGGGGGGCAAGCGUUGUUCGGAAUUACUGGGCGUAAAGGGCUCGUAGGUGGCCAACUAAGUCAUACGUGAAAUCCCUCGGCUUAACCGGGGAACUGCGUCUGAUACUGGAUGGCUUGAGGUUGGGAGAGGGAUGCGGAAUUCCAGGUGUAGCGGUGAAAUGCGUAGAUAUCUGGAGGAACACCGGUGGCUAAGGCGGCAUCCUGGACCAAUUCUGACACUGAGGAGCGAAAGCCAGGGGAGCAAACGGG
rnacentral:rRNA from 1 species